GCAGUUACUGUGAGGACUCUGACUGUGGAUGCUCUUACUAACCUACGUGCAGCCCUGUGCCAAGGUGACUACUAUAUGAUCCCUGGAAAAGAGCUGGCCUGUAGGGCCAAAAUUCCGGACAGGAAUAAAUAUCCUGGAACUGUUGGAGAGUUUGGAAUCCAGACCAAAGUUCUGCAACUCACAUUCCUCUCCAAGAUAUUGCAAGAGAGGCUACAAGUAGUUCUUUACACCUGGAGAUGUGCAAAGAGAAGCUCUUAAGGAGGACAAGCAACUAAUUUGAAGACCAUCUGGACAUCAAGAGAGACAGUAGAUGAUCAGACCAGAGAGCAGGAAAGACACCUUCUUGUGUCUCCAGAAGAAAAUGCCACAAGACCUCACUGAGUCCCCUAAUUCUUCAACAAAGGGUUAAGCACUACAGUGACUCCAGCCUAAUGGCUACCCUCACUGUGAGUAGUUAGGAACUCCUUGGCCCAUUCUUCACACUUUAGGAGGUCCCCCUCAAAGCAAAUAUACAUCAAUAGUUUAGAGGCAGAAACUAUCAAGUCAUGCUGUGUUAUUCAGAAACAGUGAGAAGAAACCGGUAUAAUGGGAAAAAGAAAUGAUCUCACCUGCUUGGUGGUAGAGAGACAUUUCUCACAACAUUUAAUCUAAAGACUAGUCUUAGCCGCUGGCCAUAUCUAUCAUUCAUCAUGACUUAAUGAGAGAGGAAUUGUCUUGCUCUGGGUGCAGAGCUCUGAAACAAAAGCAACAAUAAACAUUUUUGCAGU
rnacentral:lncRNA from 7 species